AACGCUGGCGGCGUGCCUAAUACAUGCAAGUCGAGCGAACCUUUGGGAGCUUGCUCCCAAAGGUUAGCGGCGGACGGGUGAGUAACACGUGGGCAACCUGCCUAUAAGACUGGGAUAACUUCGGGAAACCGGAGCUAAUACCGGAUAACAUAUGAGACCACAUGGUCUCAUAUUGAAAGAUGGCUUUUAGCUAUCACUUAUAGAUGGGCCCGCGGCGCAUUAGCUAGUUGGUGAGGUAAUGGCUCACCAAGGCAACGAUGCGUAGCCGACCUGAGAGGGUGAUCGGCCACACUGGGACUGAGACACGGCCCAGACUCCUACGGGAGGCAGCAGUAGGGAAUCUUCCGCAAUGGACGAAAGUCUGACGGAGCAACGCCGCGUGAGCGAAGAAGGUCUUCGGAUCGUAAAGCUCUGUUGUUAGGGAAGAACAAGUACCGUUCGAAUAGGGCGGUACCUUGACGGUACCUAACCAGAAAGCCACGGCUAACUACGUGCCAGCAGCCGCGGUAAUACGUAGGUGGCAAGCGUUAUCCGGAAUUAUUGGGCGUAAAGCGCGCGCAGGCGGUCCUUUAAGUCUGAUGUGAAAGCCCACGGCUCAACCGUGGAGGGUCAUUGGAAACUGGGGGACUUGAGUGCAGAAGAGGAGAGCGGAAUUCCACGUGUAGCGGUGAAAUGCGUAGAGAUGUGGAGGAACACCAGUGGCGAAGGCGGCUCUCUUGGUCUUAAAACCUAACCUAAGGGCGAAAAAGCUUUGGGAAGUAAAACAGUAUUUAUUAUCUCCUUGGUACUCCAACCCCUUAAACGAUGAUGCUAAUUUGUUAAAGGUUUUCCCCCCCUUUUAUUGCUGCAAGCAAAACCCAUAAACCCCCCCGCUGGGGGGGUACGGUCGCAAGACUAAAAUUAAAAGAAAUGGCGGGGGGCCCCCACAAGCGGUGGAACAUUUGGUUUAAUUUCGAACCAACGCGAAAAACCUUACCGGGUCUUGACACCCCUACACAUUUUAAAGAAAAAGGCCUUUCCUUUCGGGGGCCCACGUGACAGGUGGUCCAUGGUUGUCGUCAGCUCGUGUCGUGAGAUGUUGGGUUAAGUCACGCAACGAGCGCAACCCUUGAUCUUAGUUGCCAGCAUUCAGUUGGGCACUCUAAGGUGACUGCCGGUGACAAACCGGAGGAAGGUGGGGAUGACGUCAAAUCAUCAUGCCCCUUAUGACCUGGGCUACACACGUGCUACAAUGGAUGGUACAAAGGGCAGCGAAACCGCGAGGUUAAGCCAAUCCCAUAAAACCAUUCUCAGUUCGGAUUGCAGGCUGCAACUCGCCUGCAUGAAGCCGGAAUCGCUAGUAAUCGCGGAUCAGCAUGCCGCGGUGAAUACGUUCCCGGGCCUUGUACACACCGCCCGUCACACCACGAGAGUUUGUAACACCCGAAGUCGGUGGGGUAACCGCAAGGAGCCAGCCGCCUAAGGUGGGACAGAUGAGGGGGG
rnacentral:rRNA from 1 species